rnacentral:lncRNA from 1 species
CGAUGUGGAGUCCAGAUGUAGCUCAAAUAAUAACAAAGCAUAUUAUUGGGCAACGAUGGACACUUUUCCAAAAGAUGUUAUCAUACAACAUGGGAAACCCAUAUGUAUCAGACUCACUCUUGGUAUAUUAUGUCCCAGACAUGUAACGGUAUCCACCAAAUUCCAAACAAAGCAGACACCUGACUAUGUCUGGUAUUCAAAAUAAAAAAAUGUCAUGAAUUGUUUUUCUAUAUUAACUGUUUGCCAACCAAGGAAAAAAAAACUAAAAGGUAUUCUACCACUAUAAUAGGAACUUGACAUAAAUGAUAAGAGGGGCAAAGGUUUUGUGAUGUGAAGUUCAGAUGUAGCUCAAAUAAUAACAGUAUAUUAUUGGGUAACGAUGAACACCUUUCAAAGAGUUAUAAAACAACAUGGGAAACCCAUAUUUAUCAUACACACUCCAAGGAUAUUAUGUCCCAGACAUGUAACAGUCUCUACCAAAUUUCCAAACACGGCAGACACCUGACUAUGUCUGGUAUUCAAAAGAAAAACAAAUCAUGAAUUGAUUUCCUCCACAACAAACGGAAAAAAAACUGACAGGUAUUCAACCACCAUAAUAGGAACUUGCAAUAAUUAAAUCUUGUUUGUGUGUAGCAUUCAUAUAUUCUAAAGGCAUGACUAAUGCAAAAAAGUUUUGCUUGAAAGGAAAAAAGUUGAGUAAAGGGCAGAAAUUGUGAUGUAGAGCCCAGAUGUAGCUCAAAUAAUAACAAUGCGUAUUAUUGGGCAACGAUGGACACCUUUCCAAGAGUUAUAAGACAACAUGGGAAACCCAUAUUUAUGAUACACACUCUAAGGAUAUUAUGUACCAGACAUGUAACAGUCUCUACCAAAUUUCCAAACAUGGCAGACACCUGACUAUGUCUGGUAUUCAAAAGAAAAACAAAUCAUGAAUUGUUUUCCUCCACAACAAACGGAAAAAAAACAGACAGGUAUUCAACCACCAUAAUAGGAACUUGCAAUAAUUAAAUCUUGUUUGUGUGUAGCAUUCAUAUAUUCUAAAGGCAUGACUAAUGCAAAAAAGUUUUGCUUGAAAGGAAAAAAGUUGAGUAAAGGGCAGAAAUUGUAGAGCCCAGAUGUAGCUCAAAUAAUAACAAUGUGUAUUAUUGGGCAACGAUGGACACCUUUCCAAGAGUUAUAAGACAACAUGGGAAACCCAUAUUUAUCAUACACACUCUAAGGAUAUUAUGUCCCAGACAUGUAACAGUCUCUACCAAAUUUCCAAACACGGCAGACACCUGACUAUGUCUGGUAUUCAAAAGAAAAAACAAAUCAUGAAUUAUUUUCCUCAGCAACAAACGGAAAAAAAACUAACACGGGUAUUCAACCACCAUAAUUGGAACUUGCAAUAAUUAAAUCUUGUUUGUGUGUCUAAUGCAAAAAAGUCCAGAUGUAGAGUCCAGAUGUAGCUCAAAUAAUAACAAUCCAUAUUAAUGGGCAACGAUGGACACCUUCAAAAGAGAUUAUAUAAUACAACAUGGGAAACCCAUAUUUAUCAAACGCACUCUCAGUAUAUUAUGUCCCAGACAUGUAACAGUCUCUACCAAAUUACCAAACACGGUAGACACCUGACUAUGUC